rnacentral:rRNA from 1 species
CCUUGGUGACGCGGAGGGACAUUACAGAGUUGCAAAACUCCCUAAACCAUUGUGAACGUUACCUAUACCGUUGCUUCGGCGGGCGGCCCCGGGGUUUACCCCCCGGGCGCCCCUGGGCCCCACCGCGGGCGCCCGCCGGAGGUCACCAAACUCUUGAUAAUUUAUGGCCUCUCUGAGUCUUCUGUACUGAAUAAGUCAAAACUUUCAACAACGGAUCUCUUGGUUCUGGCAUCGAUGAAGAACGCAGCGAAAUGCGAUAAGUAAUGUGAAUUGCAGAAUUCAGUGAAUCAUCGAAUCUUUGAACGCACAUUGCGCCCGCCAGCAUUCUGGCGGGCAUGCCUGUUCGAGCGUCAUUUCAACCAUCAAGCCCCCGGGCUUGUGUUGGGGACCUGCGGCUGCCGCAGGCCCUGAAAAGCAGUGGCGGGCUCGCUGUCGCACCGAGCGUAGUAGCAUACAUCUCGCUCUGGUCGCGCCGCGGGUUCCGGCCGUUAAACCACCUUUUAACCCAAGGUUGACCUCGGAUCAGGUAGGAAGACCCGCUGAACUUAAGCAUACA